AAGGCAACACUCUUGUUAGCUGUUGUAGUGGCAGUUAUUGUCGGAGUUCAGGAAGCCCAAACAACGCCUUGCGCAUCGUACUAUUGUAGUAAGUUCUGUGGGACUGCUGGUUGCAAAUUAUAUGGAUGCUACAAUCUUCAUCCCGGGAAAAUUUGCUACUGCCUUCAUUGUAGCAGAGCUGAGUCUCCAUUGGCACUUUCUGGAAGCGCUAGAAAUGUAAACGAGAAGAACAACGAGAUGGACAACACUCCAAU